UGGUAUCGGUUGAAAUUUGCUCCAGUUAGCGUGUUCACAAAGAGCAGAUAAGGCUUUUUCUGAGAACUACUUCCAGAUGGUUGAACCAAUACCACCAAUUUUCGAACUUGACCUGAGGAUUUCAAUACUUUAUCGAAUAAAAAAAAAGUUUUUGAAAAUCGGUUGAACUUCGCUCCAGUUAUGGUGU